UAACACAUGCACCAAGCACACAACACACA
rnacentral:piRNA from 1 species